GACGGAGGGUGCAAGCGUUGUUCGGAAUCACUGGGCGUAAAGCGCGUGUAGGCGGUCCGAAAAGUCGAGUGUGAAAUCCCGAGGCUCAACCUCGGAAGUGCAUUCGAAACUCUCGGGCUUGAGUACGGGAGAGGGAAGCGGAAUUGCUGGUGUAGAGGUGAAAUUCGUAGAUAUCAGGAGGAACACCGGUGGCGAAGGCGGCUUCCUGGCCCGAUACUGACGCUGAGACGCGAAAGCGUGGGGAGCAAACAGG
rnacentral:rRNA from 1 species